rnacentral:lncRNA from 1 species
UCAUGGACUUCCUUAACCAGGGAGCUUUCAGACUUUUCUGUUUGACCAUCAUCAUUGACUACAUCCUCCUUUUUUUCUAUGGUUUCGACACUAGAUUUGAUUUCUUCAGUGUCUUCCUCUAUACUUUCUCUAGUUUCAAAAAACUCAGGUUCUUUACCUUCUUCUUGGUAGUUCUUUUUUUGCAAGUCUUCUUCUAAUGCUGCAACCUGUGAGGUUGUUACAUUGUCCUCACCUUGACCUUCUGCCGACAUGUUGACCUGAUCCUUUUCUUGAUCUUCAUCUUUAAAAGUUUCUAUUGCUUUUAUCCCUUCUUCAGAUUCAACCUUUUCCGAACUAGUCUCAUCACAUACCUCUUUGACAGAGUGGAUAGGAGGCGUUUCCAUUUGAUCAUCAUCAUGCUCAAUAGGCUCUUUGUUUUUUUCUUCAGUUUCUGUUUUCUCUUCUUGAGAUUCCACUUGUGCUGAUGUGAAAACAUCAGUUGUGAUGGCAUGUGGCAACUCUCCUUGCUCCACUUUUUCUUUUGUUUUAACAUUUGUGCUUAUAAGUUCAUUAUCUUCCUCCAUGCUUUCUCUAGUUUCAAAAAAUACAUCCUCAGAGGCUGCAACUGUAUCCUGUGAGCAUAUAACUUCAUCCUCACUUUGGUCUUUUUCUGGUAUGUUGAGCUCUUGUUCCUUUUCUUGAUAUUCAUCUUUGCUUAAAAUUUCUAUUUCUUUCUCAUUCUGAUACAUAUCGGAAUUUAUCCCUUCUUCAGAUACAGUCUUCUUUAAGUCAGUCUCUUCACAUACUUCCUGUUGCUCCUUUUCAUCUGUUUCAACACUUGGUUUGAUUUCUUCAGUAUACAUCUCUUGCUCAAAAAUUAUGCUGGCACUUUCUUCUAUUUUAUCUUUUGCUCCAUUAUCAUCAUACUGCUCGCUUGCCUAUAUGAAGAGUGUAUUUUGAGUACAUGGGCAGAAUGGACAAUACAGAACUUGGUAAGUCUAAUGUAUAGUCAAAGUUUGUAAAACAAUCUGUGUAACAGCUUAGUUUAUUGGUCUCUUUUUCAAAAGAAAAUUAUGAGCAGCAUUUGCUCUAAAGUCUAAACUACUUUAUAAAACGGGUUUCCCUUAGAAUUUAUCAUUUUCAUAAAUAUCCACAACUUGCUUUUCUUCUAGUUCUAUACCCCUCCCCAAUUGUACUGUUCAAUUGAAUAAAUCAAGUUCUGUAUUUGAAGUUACACUUAAUAUGCUCUAUAAAAUAUGUAUUUUAUCUUGUUUAGGGCCCUUAAAAUGGUCUAAUAUAUAUAUAUNNNNNNNNNNNNNNNNNNNUAUAUAUAUAUAUAUAUAUAUAUAUAUUUGUAAGAGAUACUUGAACUACCGAGUUGAACAACUUAUGCAUUUGUUACUUUCUCAAACACAUGAGAUGAGAAAUUUUGUAGCAGACAACAUAAUGUCUUGAUAAUUUUAGCAUUGCAAGUUUAGUUGGAAUGAUGUACAAGUAAAACCUUUUGAAAUAAUUAGAGAUUACUUAAGAUGAACAUAAAUUACCUCUUGAGCAUGAAUUGAUUUGUCUUCUAUUUCUUCCUUGAGGAUCUCUUUGGUCAAUGCACUAUCAUCUUUGCUCUCCUCAAAAUCAACCACUGUGGUAACAUGUUGACCAAUUGUUGACUCUUGUAUAUCCUCACACGUUGCAUCUUCUGAACUUGUAACGGCAUCCCCACCACCUUGGACUUCUUCUGGCAUUUUGAGUUCAUGUUCCUUUUCUUGAUUUUCCUCUUUGCUCACUAUCUCAUUCUCAUUCAAUUCAGGUUUAGCCUUCUCUGAUCCUGUCACUUCACACACCUCCUUAACCAAUGGGCUUUCAAACUCAUCAUUGACUAUAGCAUCUUCCUCAAUCUUUUCUUCAUUUUCCAUAGUUUCUUUUUUAGGUUCUAUUUCUGUUGAGCUGCAAACAUCAGUAGUAAUGACAUGCAGCAACCCUUGUUGCUCCAUAUUUUCUUUUGUUUCUAUACUAGAUUCGAUUUCUUCAAUGUUUUCCUCUACACUUUCUCUCGUUUCAACAACUUCAGGUUCUUUACCUUCUUCUUGGUAGUUCUUUUCUUGCAAGUCUUCUUCUAAGGCUGCAACCUGUGAGCUUGUUACAUUAUCCUCGCCUUGACCUUCUGUUGACAUGUCAACCUGAUCCUUUUCUUGUUCUUCAUCCUUGAAAGUUUCAAUAGCUUUUACCUCUUGUUCAGAUUCAACCUUUUUUGAGCUAGUCUCAUCGCAUACCUCCUUGGUAGUCUCUUCAUAAACCUCCUUCAUAGACUCUUCAUUCUUUUGUUCAGUUUCCGUGGUCUCUUCUUGAGAUUCUGUUUGUGCUGAUAUGCAAGCUACCUCUUGAGCAUCACUUGGUUUUUCCUCUGUUUCUUCCAUAAGGAUCUCUUUAGGCAUUAAACCUAUCGCUUGUCCCUCCUCUAAAUAGGCCACUGUAGUGUCCUGUUGACCAACUGUUGUUUCUUUUAUAUCCUCACACGUUGCAUCUUUUGAACUUGUAGUUGUAACAUCAUCCCCUAAACCUUUUCCUGACACAUAAACCUCUUGUUCCUUUUCUUCAUCUUCAACUUUGUUCACUAUUUCUUUCUCAUUUGUUGUUUCUUUUACCUCUUCGCUAUAUUCAACUUUCUCUGAACUGGUCUCUUCACAUACUUCAUUGACUGGGGAGCUGUCAACAUUUUCCUUUUGACCAUUAUCACUCUGAAUAGGCUCGUCACUUUUUACUUCAUGUUCUUCACUUUCUACCUGAGAUUUUGUUUGUGAUGUGAUGCAAUCAUCAUGCAACAGUUCUUGCUGCUUGGUUUCAACACUUGGUUUGAUUUCUUUAGUAUCUUCCUCUUGCUCAAUCUCUGAACAAGAUUGAACAGUUUUGUUGUCGCUUUCAUCAGGCUUUUGUUCUGUUUUGUCCUAUUAGAGAAAAAGUAUUCAGUUAGAUAUGAUGAUUUAUAUAAAUAGGCUCAAAGUUUUUAAAAACAAUCUCUGUGGUAGGUUUUUUUCAUUGUUCUUUUUUAAGAUAAUUGUGAGUGACAGUUGUUCUUUAUAACAUUAACAUGAUUCUACAUUGCUUAGUAAUAAAACAUUAAAAGUUUUAGUAGGAAAGAUAUACAAGUAAAACCUUUUGGAUUGUUCAGAGUUAACAUGGGAUGAACACGAAUUACCUCUUGAGCAUCAAUUGCACUCUGAUUCGGCUCCUCGAACUCGAUAUCAGCCACUGGGGUAGCCUUUUGACCAAUUAUUGUUUCUUUUAUAUCCUCGCUGGAUGCAUUCUGUGAGCUUGUAACAUCAUCUCCACCACCUUGGACUUCUUUUGACAUUUUAAUCUCUUGUUCCUUUUCUUGAUUUUCCUCAUUGUUCACUAUUUCAUUCUCAUUCAAUUCAGAUUCAGCCUUCUCUGAGCUUGUUGCUUCACAUACUUCCUUCACCAAGGGGCUUUCAGACUUAUCUGUUUGACCAUCAUCAUUCACCAAUGCCUCUUCAUCAAUCUUUAUAUCAUCUUUUGUUUCGGCACUAGAUUUGAUUUCUUCAGUAUCUUCCUCUAAAUACUCUCUAGGUUUGACAAAUUCGGGUUCCUUACCUUCAUCAUCAUAUUUUGUUUCUGGUAAGUCCUGUAUAGAAGUUGCAUCUUGUGAGAAAGUGACAUCAUCUUUUCCUUGGUCUUCUUCUGAAAUGAUGGACUCUUGUUCUUGUUCUUGUUCUUUUUCUUUUUCUUGAUGUUCAUCUUUGUCAGAAGGUUCUACCCCUUCAAAUUUACCCUUCUCUAAGUGAGUUUCUUCACAUACUUCAGUCACAUCUUCAUCGUCUGUAAUCUUUACCUGCUCCUUUUCAUCUGUUUCCACACUUGGCUUGAUUUCUUCAGCAUUUUCAUUUUUGUUGACACUUUCCUCGGGCUUUUGUUCUAUUUUUUCAUUUGCUCCACUCUCAUCCUGCUCACUUGCCUAUAUGAACACAAGUAUUUUGAGUACAUGUGGAGAAUAAAAGUAACACAUCAUGAUAAGUCUAAUGCAUAGUCAAACUUUUAAAACAAUCUUUGUGGCAGCUUCAAAAAAAUUUGUGAGCCAAAUUUGCUAUAAACUACUUUAUAGAAUGGUUUUCUCUAAACAUUUAUCGUUUUAUGAACUCUAACUCUUCUCAACAAAUGAAACUAAACGUUUGGAUGAGACAAGCAUUUGACAUUAAAAUUAUGUAUGAAAAUCAUAAUAUUGUCUUAUACUUUUAUAAAUUAAACAUAAAACUAGUAAGAAUUAGCCUUAACAUUUAACAAUACAUUAGUAUAAUAUGUGAUUUUUAGUUUCUCUUACACAUGAGAUAAGAAAAUAUGUAGCAGACAACAACAUUUCCAUAUGUCAUAAUGAUUAUAGCAUUUCAAAUUCUAGUAAGACUGAUCUACAAUUAAAACUGUAAAACCUUUUAGGAAUAGUUAGGUUUACUUAGAAUGAACAUGAAUUACCUCUUGCACAUCAGUUGAUUUGUCCUCUGCUUCUUCCUUAAGGAUCUCCUUAGGCGUUGAGUUUAGAGCCUGUUCCUCCUCUAAAUAGGCCACUGUAGUAACAUGCUCACCAGUUGUUGUUUCUUUUAUAUCCUCAAAUGUUGCAUCUUGUGAACUUGUAACAUCAUCCCCUAAACCUUUUCCUGACACAUAAACCUCUUGUUCCUUUUCUUCAUCUUCAACUUUGCUUGCUAUUUCGUUUUCAUUCAGAUCGAUAUUAACACUGUCAGAAAGUUUUAACCCUUCUUCAGAUUCAACCUUCUCUGAGACAGUCUCUUCACAUACUUCCUUCACCAUGGUCUCUGUAUUAGAACUAUCAGAGUAGUUCACCUCUUCUUUAUAUUCAAUUUUCUCUGAACUAGCCUCUUCACAUACUUCAACACUUGGUUUGGUUUCUUCAGUAUCUUUCUCUUGCUCAAUUUCUGAACCAGACUGUACAAUUUUGUUGUCACUUUCUGCAGACUUUUGUUCUUUUUUGUCCUAUUAGAGAAGAAAUAUUCAGUAUAUUAUACGACUGAAAGAAAAGAAAUGAUGAUUUAUAUAAACAGGCUUAAAGUUUUUAAAAACAAUCUUAAGGGUAGGUUUUUUUCAUUGUUAUUCUAUAAAAUAAAUGUGAGCGACAGUUGUACUUUAUAACAUGAAUCUACAUUGGUUAGUGAUAAAAAAAAGCAUUUCAAGUUUUAGUUGGAAUGAUGUACAAGUAAAACCUUUUGGAUUGUUUAGGAGUUAACAUGGUAUGAACAUGAUUUACCUCUUGAACAUCAAUCACACUCUGAUUCUGCUCCUCGAACUCGAUAUUAGCCACUGGGGUAGCCUGUUGACCAAUUGUUGUUUCUUUUAUAUCCUCACUGGAUGCAUUCUGUGAUCUUGUAACAUCAUCUCCACCACCUUGGACUUCUUCUGACAUUUUAAGCUCUUGUUCCUUUUCUUGAUUUUCCUCUUUGCUCACUAUUUCGUUCUCAUUCAAUUCAGAUUCAGCCUUCUCUGAGGUUGUCGCAUCAUAUACUUCCUUCACCAAGGGGCUUUCAGACUUCUUUGUUUGAUCAUCAUCAUUCACUAAUGCCUCUUCAUCAAUCUUUAUAUCAUCUUUUGUAUCAGCACUAGAUUUGAUUUCUUGAGUAUCUUCGUCUAUAUUCUCUCUAGGUUUGACAAAUACAGGUAAGUUCUCUAUAGUGGUUGCAUCUUGUGAGCAUGUGAUAUCAUCUUUUCCUUGGUCUUCUUCUGAAAUGAUGGACUCUUGUUCUUUUUCUUUUUCUUGAUCUUUAUCAUUGUCAGAAGGUUCUACCCCUUCAAAAUUUCCCUUCUCUAAUUGAGUUUCUGCACAUACUUCAAUCACAUCUUCUUCAUAGUCUGUAAUCUUCACUUGUUCCUUUUCAUCUAUUUCCACACUUGGCUUGAUUUCUUCGGUAUCUUCAAUUUUGUUGACAAUUUCCUCGGGAUUUUGUUCUAUUUUUUCGUUUGCUCCACUCUCAUACUGCUCGCUUGCCUACAUGAAAACAAGUAUUUUGAGUACAUGUGGAGAAUGAAAGUAAUACAUCAUGAUAAGUCUAAUGCAUAGUCAAAGUUUUAAAACAAUCUUUGUGGCAGCUUCCAAAAAAAUUGUGAGCCAAAGUUGCUAUAAACUACUUUAUAGAAUGGUUUUCUCUAAACAUUUAUCAUCUUAUGAACACUAACUCUUCUCAACAAAUGAAAUUAAACCUUUGGAGGAGACAAGCAUUUGACAUUAAAACUAUGUAUGAAAAUCAUAAUAUUGUCUUAUAUUUUUAUAGAUUAAACAUAGAACUAAUAAGAACUCUAACUCUUCACUUACUUGUUGCUCCGUUUCAACACUAGGUUUGAUAUCUUCAGUAUCUUCCCCUUGCUCUGUUUCUGAAGAAGACUUUGCACUUUUGUUGACAAUUUCCUCAGGCUUUUGCUCACUUUUUUCCUCUGCCUCAUUAUCGCACUUCUUGCUUGCCUAUUCGAGAAAAUAUUUUCAGCAUAUAGGAAGAAUGAAAGAAAAGAAAUGAUGUUUUAUACGAAUAGGCUCAAAGUUAUUGAAAACAAUAUGUGUGAUGUUUCAUUGUUCUUUCUUUAAACAGAUUGUUAAUGGAAGUUCUUUAUAACGUGGUUUUUUCUAGGCAUUUAUCAUUUUCUUGAACAUCAUGUUAGAUUGGUAUGGCAUGCGCUUCGGGCUCAACAAUGGUGGAGGAGAAGAAUAUUUGACAUUAAAACAGUGCAUGAGGUUCAUAAGAUGAGUCUUAUGGUUUAAGCAUAGAGUAAGUAAGAAAAAGCAGCAACAUUUCCAUAUUUGUACAUACUCUACAACUUAAUAUAAACUAUGUCCAGAAUUUGUGUAUGUUAUCUUGUUUAGGGCCUUUAUAGGGCAUAAUGCAUGCUUCUUAGUUUUUCUUUUUCAUAAACAUGAGAUAAGAAAUUAUGUAGCAGACAACAUUUCCAUAUUUCUUAAGAAUAUGGCAUUUCAAAUUUUAGUUGGAUUGAUUUACAAGUAAAACCUUUUUGGAAUAGUUAGGGUUUCCUUAUAACGACUAAUGAACAUGAGUUACCUCUUGAGCAUCACUUGGUUUGUCCUCUGCUUCUUCCUUGAGGAUCUCUUCAGGCAUUGGACUUAGACUCUGUGCCUCCUCUAAAUGAGCCACUUCGGUACUAGCAUGUUCAUCAAUUGUUGUUUCUUUUAUAUCCUCACAUGUUGCAUCUUGUGGACUUGUAACAUCAUCCCCAUCACCUUGUCCUUUUCCUGAAACAUAAACCUCUUGUUCCUUUUCUUCAUAUGCUAUUUCAUUCUCAUUCAAAGCGAUAUUGGAACUGUCAUAAAAUUGUAACCCUUCUUCAGAUUCAACCUUCUCUAAGAUAGUCUCUUCACUAGUUCUGAUUUCUUCAGUAUCUUCCCCUAUACUUUCUUUAGUUUUAACAACUUCAGGUUCGUUAACUUCACUGUGGUGUUCUCUUUCUUUUAAGCCUCCUUCAUAAGUUGCAUCAUGUGAGCUUGUAACAGUAUCAUCACCUUGGUCUUUUUCUAAUGUGUUGCCCUCUUGUUUCCUUUCUAGAUCUUCAUCUUUGCUUAAAAUCGGUAGUGUUUUCUCGUUGAUCUCUACAUUAGAACUAUCAGAAUGUUUGACCUCUUCUUCAUAUUCAACUUUCUCCGAACUGGUCUCUUCAUCUACAAUUUUGUUGACAUUUUCCUCAGACUUUUGUUCUCUUUCUUCCUUCACACACUCCUCGCUUGCCUAUUCGGGAAGUUGGUUUUGUUUUUUCAGUAUACAAGAAUUAUGAAAAAAAAAAAUAAAUGAUGAUUUAUAGGAAUAGGCUCAAAGUUUAUGAAGUUAAACCUUUUGGAAUAGUUAGAUUACUUAAAAUGAACAUGAAUUACCUCUUGAGCAUCACUUGAUUUGUCCUCCUGUUCCUUUUCUUCAUCUUCAACUUUGCUUGCCAUUUCAUUCUCUUUCAGGGCAAUAUUGUAACUGUCCGAAAGCUGUAACCCUUCUUCAUAUCCAGUUUUCUCUGAAACAGUCUCUUCACUUGCUUCUUUUACAAUGGGGCUUUCAGACUUGAUCUCUGUUAAAGAACUAUCAGAAUGCUUUACCUCUUCUUUAUAUUCAACUUUUUGUAAACCAGUUUCUUCACUCUGAAUUGCUUCAUCAUUUUUUAUUUCAUGUUCUGCACUUAUUACAUGAGGCUCUGUUUGUGAUGUGAUGCAAUCUUCAGGUAUGACUUCUGUUUUCUCCUCUGUUUCAACACUUGGUUUGAUUUCUUCAGUAUCUUCCUUUUGCUCAAUCUCUGAAGAAGACUGUACAAAUUUAUCGACACUUUCCUCAUGCUCUUGUUCUCUUUCUUCCUUUGCUCCAUUCUCACACUUCUCAAUUGCCUAUUCGGGAAAAAACUAUUUUCAGUAUACUGGAAUGAUGAAAGAAAAAGAAAUGAUUACGUAUGUGAAUAGUAUUUGAUUAUAUGGUUACAUGAGAAUCAUAGUAUGGUCUUAUGGGAUUAAGCAUACAGGUAAAAAUUCACAGCUUCGUAGAUCUCUACAUGUUCAAUGUCAAAAAAUCGAGCUGUAUCUCUUCUUGUAGAUGCUUUUAUUAUGCCUAGAUUUUCCAACUAUUAUGGAGUUCAACAACUUAUACACUUACUAAUUUCCCAUACACAUACACAUUAUGAUGUACAAUUAAAACCUUUUGGAAUGCUUAGAGAUUACUUAGAUUGGAGAUGAAUUACCUCUUGAGGAUCAAUUCUGUUGUCCUCUACUUCUUCUUCCUUGGAGAUAUCUUUAGGUGCUGCAUUCAAAGUCUGCCCCUCUUCGACAUAAGCCACUGUGGUAGCAUGUUGAAAGGUCGUUUCUUCAACAUCAUCUUCUAUAUGCUCUUUAGUUUUAACAGCUUCAGCUUCAUUACCUUCACCAUGGUAGGUUUUUUCUUGUAAGCCUCCUUCAAAUAUUGUGUCCUUUAUACCAUCAUCACUUUCUAUCUGAGGUUCUGUUUUCACUGUGAUGCUAUCCUUUUUCUCAUCUGGUUCAACAUUUGGCUUGAUUUCUUCAGUAUCUUCCUCUUUCUUAAUUUCUGAACAAGACUCUACACUUCCCUCAGUUUUUUGCUCUCUUUGGUCCUAUUCAAGAAAAAUGUUUUCAGUAUAUGAAUAGGCUUACUCAAUGUUUGCAUAAGUUGGGAAAUUGUUGCAUGAUAAUAAGCAUUUAUGGAACGAAACAUGGUUUGAAACCAUUUUAUUGCAUAUAUGCACAAUUAACCCUAGUUAGAAAUUUACUUAGGUAGAAGUAGAACAUCAAUUACUAACCUCUUGAGAAUUAAUAGAUUUGUCCUCCUCUGUUUCUUCUUUAGAGGCAACAAUCUGGACACUUUGAUCAUGAAAUGGUUUGGCUUCUUCAAUCUUUGUAGACUUUCUUUCUUCCUGAUCUUCUGUAGUGACAGCCUUGCAACUUUCUGUUGUGCCUUCAUCAGCACUGACAAUGGGUACUGAGAGUGCUUGGAAAAAAGUUUCACUCUCAGUUUCCAUUUGUUCUGUAUUUACACUUUCUGCCACUUCAAGUUGCUUCACUUUGUUACCAGAAAAUUCUGCAAUUUUUUCUUCCAAAAUUUCACUUGACAAACCGUAAUC